GCCGAGCUCGGUUGCGCGGGCUUGUAACCUAAGUAGGGGCAUUCAGGUGGUGUGGAUGUUUGGUGCGGAUUCUGAGCUUGGGUCUGUGAUGUGCCCUUGUUGACCUUACCCGUUCCCAGUUGGUAGUGGCCUGUGCGGUCUAAGUCAAAGCUCGAGCUUCACUGGACCUAAAGUAGCCCCUUACGUAUGAAAAGUAUAAUAGUACUAAAAUAAUAAAAUUACACAACACGAUAAAAAAUAUAGUGCGCUACACGACACGAUAAGAAAUAUCGCGUGCUAAGGAACGUCGUUUCG
rnacentral:SRP_RNA from 1 species